UUUCAGGUCCCCACCUUCUCCCCAGGUCUCAUGCACUCGAUCUCUCUCACUCCUUUCUGCUUUACAGACCCACAGCCAGGUCCUGCCAAUCACUCCCCUCCUUGUUGGAAGUCAGCUACAGGUGAACCAGCAGGGAGAGGCCACUGCCUGCUCACAAUCAGCUCAUUAUCUAAUUGAGGAAAAAGGCACAAGCUCACUCAAAAGCAAAAUCCAAAGGACCAACAGGAGUUGGGGGCUUCAGGCUUUUUCUUCCCAUUCAGGAUAGGGUCAAUGUCACUUCAAAAGGUAUAAUUACAAAAGGCUAGAGACCACGCCUUCAGCUUUAAGAGAAUAGCAGUACCUUCCAUCCUCCAGAAAGCUUUUGGACUUGUGGACUAUCCCUAUUUAAGACGGCUCAUUGCAUCAAGGAAACACAGUUUCAUUCAAUAAACAUCAGUCAUUUCCUUCAAAUUCCCACCGGAAAGCUACUGACAUUGUAAACCUUUAGGAUUUGAAAGACGCUAAAGUUUAAAGUCGAAUCAUAAAUACUGUUCCAAUCCAAUCACUCAGGCCCAGAGCUGGUGGGAGUUCUGGAUUGCAUUUCCGGCUUCACCAGUAUCUCUGUAACUUAGCAGCAAGCUACACCUCCACCAGCCUCGGCUUCCUCUUAGGAGAAAUGAGAAAACUGGACCCAAUCAGUGUUUCCCAAAAGCAUGGUGGGCGUCCAAUGCAAGAUGUCACAGUGCAAGAGAGGACUCUGUGUGCAUGCCAAUUAACAUGUUUUAGUUAUUAGUUUACUCUGUCUGGUGAGUAAUGUUAGUUUUCCUAAUAAAUAAGAUUUCCUUUUAAAAUAAAUGCAUCCAAAUAUUUUUAAAAAUGAGUCACUUUCACAAAAACCUAUUUAGUAAAUAAGAGUUCAGGUGAUUCUAGCAGCCGUGGCAAAAAUAACUGAUCUAGAGGCCUGGCGUGGCGUGAAAUCCCUGAGUACAGGGGGAGGAAGAGAGCGAAGGCGGCUGGAGUUCCUCGCAAAGAAGCAAGCCCCGGGCACCAGGGUCCGCAGUGACCAGCCGCCGGUCCUCCACGCUUCCAGAGGAGACGAUUUGGAACUGACCCGGGAGGGCCAAGAAACACCUUCCGAGUACCAGGCUAAACCCCGCCAGGGAGAGAGACCGGGACGAAGGUCCCAGGCUAGUGCGACACCGCAGGCAUUGAUUCCUAAUAAACACCCUCUGAGCCAACCUCUAUCACCGUAUCUGCUGCUGGAGAAUGCAACCUGAGACAAGUAAAAGCCUCAUUGUAAAGUUACAUUUUGAGCCAAGAAGGAGAGGAGGGAGUAAGCCAUGUGGAAAUGUGGGCCAAAUACUUUUCUGGAAAAGAAAAGAGCACGUGUUAAGGCAUUGAGGUGAGCACAUGCCAGGGGUUUUGUAGAGACAGCCAGGCACCCCGUGAGGCUGGAGCAGAGUGAGUGAGGGAGUGCUCAGAGAAAAACAGCACAGACAGGUCACCAGACAGACCAUGUUGAGCCCAGAGACCAUUGAUAAGGGCUUUGGUUUUUACUUCAAAUGAGAUAGGAAGCCAUUGGAGAGUUUCGAACAGAAGGCUGGUUUAAUCUGCCUUCAAGUUUUUAAAUUUGUAUUCAUUUAUUUUUCGAGACGAAGUCUCACUCUGUCGUCCAGGCUGGAGUGCAGUGGUGCGAUCCUGGCUCACUGCAACCUCCACCUCCUGGGUUCAAGUGAUUCUCGUGCCUCAGCUUCUCAAGUAGCUGGGACUACAGGCACGUGCCACCACACCCAGCUAAUUUUUGUACUUUUAGUAGAGAGGGUGUCACCAUGUUGGCCAAGCUGGUUUCGAACUCCCAACCCCAGGUGAUCCACCCACUUUGGCCUCCCAAAGUGCUGGGAUUAUUAUAGGCAUGAGCCACUGCGCCUGGGCUAAUCUGCCUUCAAUUUUAAAAGGCAAGAAUAGAAGCAAGGUGUCAGUCAGGAAGUUAUUUGAGAAAUUAACAGGGUAAUUGAGAAAUGAUGUGGCUUUCUAAGGGUGCUGGUGGUGAGAGGACAUCAGAUUCUAGACUUAUGUAGAAGGUAGUACCAGUGAAAUUUGUUGAAUAUUGAAUAUGAGAUAGUUAAGAAUGAUACCAAGAUUUGUGGGCUGAGCAACUGGAAAAGUGGAGCUGCCAGUUACUGAUCUGUGGAAAAUGUAGGAGGAGCAGGUUUGGAAGGGAAGAAGGAGAAUUCAGUUUUGGACAUAGGAAGCUUGAGACGAGUAUUAGGUCUCCAAGUGAAGGGGCUGAGUAGGCAGUUGAAUACAGGAGGUUUUUGUUUGUUUGUUUGUUUGUUUUUGUUUUUUUUGUUUUUUUUUUGAGAUGGAGUCUUGCUCUGUUGCCCAGGCUGGAGUGCAGUGGUGCGAUCUUGGCUCACUGCAACCUCCACCUCCUUGGUUGAAGCAAUUAUCCUGUCUCAGCCUCCCCAGCAGCCGGGAUUACAGGCGUGUGCCACUAUGCCUGACUAAUUUUUGUAUUUUUAGUAGAGACGGGGUUUUGCCAUGUUGGCCAGGCUGGUUUCGAACUCCUGACCUCAGGUGAUCCACCUGCCUCAGCCUCCCAAGGUGCUGGGAUUACAGGCGUGAGCCACCAUGACCAGCCUGAAUAUAGGAGUUUUGUAUAUGCUACUGAAUAGUAGAGAGGUCUGGACUGCAGCCAUUACUCUGGGAGUUAAAUGCACAGUGAUGGAACCUGCUGUGCCACCCUCUGCAGGGUCAGCAGAUGCUCACUGGGUGGUGGUAGAGUUCAGGAGCCAAGUUUAUGCUUGAUCUUAAGGCAGCAGGAUGGUCAAAACUAAGUGAGAGAAAGGCCCUCUACAAAUACUUGUUCAAAAAUUUUAAUCAGGGAUUCGCCUGUUAAACUAAAUUAAAAUGGAAACCAGGGCUGAAGACUCCCCGAAGAGACAAAGCCAGUCAGUCCUCCUAAGUGAUCUUAACCUUGCUUGAUUUGCAAACAUAAGUGAAACUUAACUUGAACUAUUUCUUGUAAAUGCCUGUAUUAAAGAAAAACAAAACUUAAGCUCAACCAUUCAGAAGCAGUCAACAGACUUACAAUUAAAUAACUAGGGAUUUUCCCACAGGAUAGACCAAAUAAAGCCACUUUAUAACUGUAA